ACAAUUUUAAAUUACCAAUUAACCUUCUUUUUUUUUAGUGCAAUUGGUAAUUUGUAAAUUUUUUAUUUUAAAAAUCAAAUAAUACAUACAACACAUUAAUUAUUUUGGAUUAAUUUCAUCAGAGCUUGUAAAUGAAACCCAUAAACAAAGGCAUCUCAAACUUUGUAAUUACAAAAAAAAAAAAAAAAAAAAAAGCGUAAAGAACAGAGUUGGCGGGUGCACGCCAUACGCGAAUUAAUUUUCACCAUCAUCUUCCACCAUAUGUCGUGAGCAAUGGAGGCUUUCCCUCCCCAUUACCAUUACAAAAAAAGUGUCGAAAAAGGUGUCGACCUGUGUCACACCCCCAUCCAAGAAGUGAGCUAAAAAUUAUGAAACUCCAAAGCACUGUCUAAGCAUAGCACACAGACUACUUCCAGCAUCUCCAUUAACAAAAUACUUGAAAAAAGCAAGGCAUGAGCUAUUAGCCCAUACACUUUUAAGCAUAAUGAUUCUAAUCACAUCUCAUUUAACCACGAGGCCAUGAAAACAUACUCAAAGAUUCCAAAAGAAAAUUGACAUUUAAGCACAUAAGAAUCAAUCUUAAGAAUCCAUCAAUUUUCAAAUCAAGCGAAAAAAAGUCAAUCGCUGAUCUAUAAGACCAAACUUCAAAGUCUAUAAUUUCAAUGAUCAAAUAACAAAUGAUGUCCAAAUAAAAUUCAUGGAAAUCUAUAGAAACCUUUGGCAUUAUUUGAGACCUUGUAAUAAGGACAGGCCUUGUUCAAUAAUCCCUUUAAAUUAUUGGGUUGGUUCAAUUACUAUACAAUUUUGCAGAUAUAAUCUAGACAUGUAAAGCACCUAGAAUAUAACAUCUUAGCUCAAAUUAGUUACAUUUAUUACUAUUUCUAUGACCCAAUAUUGAGUUACAGAAAACUGGUUUAUUGACAGGAAACACCAACAACCUAAGCUUGUGAUUUUCUUUAAAAAUUCAAUACUAUUCAGAAUAUUAUGAAAACUUCCAGAAUAUUAUUAGACACAACAUAUAAAAUUUUCAAGCCAUUUGGACAACUCUUUAAUAGGUUCUCACAGGAUUGAACUAAACAAAUCAAAACUGCCUUUUUAAUUCACACAAAUAAAGCUGAGCUUUGGUGAUUUAUUAAAAUUGAAAUACUCAGUAUGUUGGGAUGGAAAUUCCCAGAACAUAAUUACACAUAUAACUUGAUAACAUAUUAAAAGUUCAAGACAUUCUGAUAUCAUUAAGCUAAUGUUUCAUAAGAUCAAACACAAGUGAAUAGUUCUGCCAAGGGGUUUACGGCUAAAGCAGUGGAGUUUAAAAAAUCAUAAAAAACAAAAAAGUACCAGAAGUUCAAUUACCAUGGAACUUUCAACAUUUAAAAUAGACAUAUUGAAGUUUAAUAUCUCAAAAUUUCAGCUCAUGUUGACCCCAUUAGAUUAUUCGUUUAUAACACCAAACAUGGUACAUAUACAGUUUCUGAUAAAUUCCAACAGCAACUGACCAAUUUGACAAAUCCAUUAAAAAUCAACUAUUAGUUCAAUUCAUUACAAAAUGUCCAGAAUCGAAAUAUACAAUUCAGCUUUUAUUACUCAAAAUUUGAAUCUAAUCAAGCAUCAUUUAGUCAUAUUUUCAAACAAUCAAAGUUAUGAUAAACUAUUUAUCAUCUUUUCAGUUCAAUAAUCAAUUUUCUGGCAAAAUUAGACAUCCAAAACCAACAACAACCUUCCUUUUCAAUAUUGAAGUAACAAAACAUCAAUUGCACAAAGUUACCUACCUAAAUCACAAGCUUUAACUUCCUAGCCUCUUAAUAAAGCUUUCUGACACUCAAGUAUUGACCUCGGCCUUGACAUUACCAAAAAGCCUACCCAAAAUUUAAAAAAAAAUGAUAAUCAAUCACACUUCCAUUAAACAAAGUCAUGAGAGAUUAUUUGAAAAUUGAGGUGUUUUUUACCUCUUAACGAAUAGCUCAACGCCCAACUUCCAAUCUGUAGCACUACAUAAUUGAAACAUACGACCACCGAUCAACAAAUAACACAAAAAAUUGCUAACAGUUUCAAUUAAAAAUAAAAGCUGGUGAUUAUAUAGCGUUAAAUCAUCAAGCAACAGUAUAUGACAGUGAGUCUCUAGAAACAUCAAUAAAAGUUUCUGAAAAACAGCAAAAAAAAAAACAACUUAAAAGUAAUAUAAUGAAUAUCAACACAGAUAAAUAAGAUUGGUCAAAAAAUUAAAAAUAAAAGAAAAAGAAGCUGAAUGGAUAAAUCUCUACCAAAUUUGUGAGUACCCAUCUUUAGUAUUCCGAACAAUGAGUGCGGAGCUCAAAACAAACAAACAAGAAAAAAUUAGUAUAUCAAGAGAAAAAUAACACCUAAUAAAAAACCAAUCCUCAAAAAAUUAACUAAAAAAAAUUAACUUGCUUUGACGGUUUACGCUGGUGGCUUCACGAAGCUCACGCGGCAACGAUUUCGGCCAAAGCGAAAUCGUAUAGAUAACGGUGCGACAGAAAUAAUGGUAGAUGAUUCCGAUUGGUUGAUUGGUGUGAGAGAGACAAUGGAUUUGAUUUUAGGCGAUGAGUCCAGAAAUCGGAUGAGAGAAAUAAUGGAUUUCAAAGAGGGAAGAAAUUUUAGGGAUUUUCCUUUUGGGAAAGCGAAGAAAUCAGAUUGGUGAGAGAGAGGAGAAAAAAAGAAUGAGAGAAAUUUAGGGAUUUCUCAAGUUGAGAACCGGCAUCUCAAGCUGCCUUUCUUUCUCUAUUUUAAUUGAAUAUAAAAUAUCAACAGUUAGAUUCAUUUGAUUUCUAUUUUCGGUAUGCUGCUGGGCCUUGGUACCCGUCAUCGCAGCUUUAGCCUUCAUACAAGUGAUAAUAUAUAAGAACUUGUACUAGCGAAUUUACAGACAUA
rnacentral:lncRNA from 1 species